UUGUCAUUGGCAACUGCUUGUUGUAUCAGGUGCUAGAGCGUACUGCUUUAUGGUUUUGCUCUUGUCAUAGACCUUCUCCCCUAUAUGAAGAGCAUAAUUGAUACUGCUUUUAAUGGACAAAGUAUAUUGAGUGGUAGAUCGACUACCAAUACUAAAAGGGUCACUUGAAUUUUCCUCCGGAAAUUCAAUGACCAAAGUCAGAUGGAUUCAGGAGCAAUAGCUUAUGUUCAACAAACUUGGGCGAAAUACUUUCUAUCUAAAGUUAGUGAAAGUUAGGUUUAGGGAGACUUAGAAGUUUAGACUUAUUUUAUCAUAUGAUAAGUUAUUUGUAACUUUGUUAAAACUGUCUGGAUUGGAACU